rnacentral:rRNA from 1 species
UGAGUAACACGUAUCCAACCUGCCGUCUACUCUUGGACAGCCUUCUGAAAGGAAGAUUAAUACAAGAUGGCAUCAUGAGUCCGCAUGUUCACAUGAUUAAAGGUAUUCCGGUAGACGAUGGGGAUGCGUUCCAUUAGAUAGUAGGCGGGGUGACGGCCCACCUAGUCUUCGAUGGAUAGGGGUUCUGAGAGGAAGGUCCCCCACAUUGGAACUGAGACACGGUCCAA